rnacentral:rRNA from 1 species
AUGACGAACGCUGGCGGCGUGCUUAACACAUGCAAGUCGAACGGAAAGGCCCUGCUUUUGUGGGGUGCUCGAGUGGCGAACGGGUGAGUAACACGUGAGUAACCUGCCCUUGACUUUGGGAUAACUUCAGGAAACUGGGGCUAAUACCGGAUAGGAGCUCCUGCUGCAUGGUGGGGGUUGGAAAGUUUCGGCGGUUGGGGAUGGACUCGCGGCUUAUCAGCUUGUUGGUGGGGUAGUGGCUUACCAAGGCUUUGACGGGUAGCCGGCCUGAGAGGGUGACCGGCCACAUUGGGACUGAGAUACGGCCCAGACUCCUACGGGAGGCAGCAGUGGGGAAUAUUGCACAAUGGGCGGAAGCCUGAUGCAGCAACGCCGCGUGCGGGAUGACGGCCUUCGGGUUGUAAACCGCUUUCGCCUGUGACGAAGCGUGAGUGACGGUAAUGGGUAAAGAAGCACCGGCUAACUACGUGCCAGCAGCCGCGGUGAUACGUAGGGUGCGAGCGUUGUCCGGAUUUAUUGGGCGUAAAGGGCUCGUAGGUGGUUGAUCGCGUCGGAAGUGUAAUCUUGGGGCUUAACCCUGAGCGUGCUUUCGAUACGGGUUGACUUGAGGAAGGUAGGGGAGAAUGGAAUUCCUGGUGGAGCGGUGGAAUGCGCAGAUAUCAGGAGGAACACCAGUGGCGAAGGCGGUUCUCUGGGCCUUUCCUGACGCUGAGGAGCGAAAGCGUGGGGAGCGAACAGGCUUAGAUACCCUGGUAGUCCACGCUGUAAACGGUGGGUACUAGGUGUGGGGUCCAUUCCACGGGUUCCGUGCCGUAGCUAACGCUUUAAGUACCCCGCCUGGGGAGUACGGCCGCAAGGCUAAAACUCAAAGGAAUUGACGGGGCCCCGCACAAGCGGCGGAGCAUGCGGAUUAAUUCGAUGCAACGCGUAGAACCUUACCUGGGUUUGACAUGGAUCGGGAGUGCUCAGAGAUGGGUGUGCCUCUUUUGGGGUCGGUUCACAGGUGGUGCAUGGCUGUCGUCAGCUCGUGUCGUGAGAUGUUGGGUUAAGUCCCGCAACGAGCGCAACCCUUGUUCACUGUUGCCAGCACGUUAUGGUGGGGACUCAGUGGAGACCGCCGGGGUCAACUCGGAGGAAGGUGGGGAUGACGUCAAGUCAUCAUGCCCCUUAUGUCCAGGGCUUCACGCAUGCUACAAUGGCUGGUACAGAGAGUGGCGAGCCUGUGAGGGUGAGCGAAUCUCGGAAAGCCGGUCUCAGUUCGGAUUGGGGUCUGCAACUCGACCUCAUGAAGUCGGAGUCGCUAGUAAUCGCAGAUCAGCAACGCUGCGGUGAAUACGUUCCCGGGGCUUGUACACACCGCCCGUCAAGUCAUGAAAGUUGGUAACACCCGAAGCCGGUGGCCUAACCGUUGUGGGGGAGCCGUCGAAGGUG